rnacentral:lncRNA from 1 species
GCUGUGGUCAGAUCAAGAUGUAGAACUCUCAACUCCUCUAGCACCAUGCCUGCCUGGACGCGGCCAUGCUCCCGUCUUGAUGAUAAUGGGACUCUAAUCUCCGUCUUGAUGAUAAUGGGACUCUAAUCUAAACCUCUGAACCUGUAAGCUAAGCCCAAGUAAAUGCCACGUCCUUUUUUAAGAGUUGCCUUGAUCAUGGUGCCUCUUGACAGUAAUGAAGCCCUAAGACAGAAGAAUUGGUUGAGCCCCAGAUUCCACAGUGGCAGAAGUAACCUUGAACCCAGCUUCCCUAGCCUUGCAGCCAAUCUACCUGUCCAUGCCCUGGGUCAGGUGAGGUACGACAACCACACUGGGAAAUGACAAACGUCCUGGAAGAGUUCUCGUCUUAACACAACACCCGACGCCAAAGAAAGGCUUUUACAGACCCCGCCCCCAACUUCUGGAACACAAGUUUGCGCACACACCCUUCACUCCACCUGGCCAGGCCUUCCUAGGGCACAAUCUCAGGAGGUGCAGGGUCAGUGGGGGUGGGGGUAAUACAGGGUUCUCCCCAAGAACUCUGACAGCUCUUGGAAUGAAGCUUUGUGACCCAUGCAUAGAGUAUCUAUGGCAACGAGACUCCCACAGCAGAUGGAAGCAUUCUGGACCUUUUGACGGAAAAGCCAGGAUGGGGAUGGUGAAUUCUCAUAGCAUGGAGUAGUGGACAGUGGGGGUAGCGGUGUCUGGGGUUGAGAAGACCGUGGAGAGAUACACAGAAGUGUCUCCAGCUUCCAGAACAUUCUAUAUCACUAGAGGUGCUCAGGCAAUGUGUCCAUCGAAUCUGGACUUCAGCCACCCUAUGGUACCCUUUACACCAUUCAUCUACCUAAAAGAUCUGUGUGUGUUCUUGGGAAUUUGACAUCAAAAACCACUUCUAAUCCAGAGUUUAUGGUGGAGAGAGGGACCCUACAGGCAGCUCAUGGUUCCUACUCUGCUGGUUCUCUAGCAGCACCCGCGUGUCCUCCAGGUCCCAAGUGAGGUGGUGACACUUCCUCUUCAGCUGGUGAGCCAUCUUCUUGGCCUCUUCAUACGCACUCUGCAGCUCCCCAAGCUAUGGAGAGAAGAGAGUGAGAGGUUCGCUGGUGCCCCCUGUUUCCAAGCUCUGUCCGGGCCUUCAUCUCUGAGUCCAAUCUCUCCUCGCACUGUUGAAGGCGCUUGCGUAGGAAAUCGUUCUCCAUCUGAGCACAGUCCAAACGCAUCUGCCACUCGUCUGCUGUGUGACAGAGUCGGCAGCUGCCUCCAUUCAGCAGGAGAGAAUCCACAUCAUAGUGGGAACUGGACAAAGAUGUCCCGAUCCCAUCCAACCAUGAAUGCCAAGUCCCUAGGCAGUGGCAUAACCAGUGCACUGAUGCUGCCUGCCUCUCACUGGGCAGUCACUCUGAGAGUCAGCCUCAACUUGAUCAUGUAUGUGAAAGCAUGCAGAGCCCGUAUUCCUCAUGAAGAGGUAGCUGAUGGCUAUGGGUUAGUCUACUCCAUAUGGCCCAGCUCUGCUUGUUCAUCAUCUAGGACCAGCUACACUUGAAUGUGAAGAAUCUGGGGCUCAGGGUGACUUUGAAUAGCAUGGUAUGAUUCAAAUACAGAGGGGAAAUUUAAAAACCUGGACUCCACUGUCAUCUUCAUCAAAUAGAAGAGAAUGUAACACAGAGA